AUUGAACGCUGGUGGCAUGCCUUACACAUGCAAGUCGAACGGUAACAGGUCUUCGGAUGCUGACGAGUGGCGAACGGGUGAGUAAUACAUCGGAACGUGCCUAGUAGUGGGGGAUAACUACUCGAAAGAGUGGCUAAUACCGCAUGAGAUCUACGGAUGAAAGCAGGGGAUCGCAAGACCUUGUGCUACUAGAGCGGCCGAUGGCAGAUUAGGUAGUUGGUGGGAUAAAAGCUUACCAAGCCGACGAUCUGUAGCUGGUCUGAGAGGACGAUCAGCCCCACUGGGACUGAGACCCAGCCCAGACUCCUACGGGAGGCAGCAGUGGGGAAUGUUGGACAAUGGGCGCAAGCCUGAUCCAGCAAGGCCGCGUGCAGGAUGAAGGCCUUCGGGUUGUAAACUGCUUUUGUACGGAACGAAAAGCUCUGGGUUAAUACCCUGGGGUCAUGACGGUACCGUGAGAAUAAGCACCGGCUAACUACGUGCCAGCAGCCGCCGUAAAAC
rnacentral:rRNA from 1 species